UAAAAAAGAGAAGAGCGAGUACAUUUAGGUUAAUAUUCACACCAGCUCAUUCGUGGUAGUGGAUUGGAGAGUUAGUGACUCGCUAAAGAUUGAAAAAAACCACUACCACUGCAAGCAAGAUGCAUGUUAUUACUUUUUUCCUGCCCGUGGUCUUUCUCCUGAUGCAGGGACAACAAAGCAAGCAAUGUAGUCCUGGACCAGGUUACAAACCACCAACUAUUACAAACCUCACUCGCAGUGCACCCAUUGUUGUCAGAGGCUAUGUCGUCAACAAAGGCAGCGAUAUUAACAUUUUCAAAGCUUGUCUUUUCGUAACUCAUGUUUACAAAGGAAUAGGAAUUCGACGAAAUUACAUAUGUGUUUCAAGAUUUGGAUCUUCGUCGCUGUGUUUGUCGAAUCCUCGGUUUGGAGUGGAAUAUUUGUUCUUCUUAAACAGAAAGGUGAACACGAAACUGGGAACUAUGUUUGAGGCUCGCUACGACAGUAUUCAUUCUGCAGUUCAAGAAAUCAAGAAAGGGUCUGUGAAUGAGAUAAGAAGAGGAAAAUGCUGCCCAAACGGAAAUAAAUGUCGAACUCCACUGCGAUGUCGCUAUCGUUAUUUUAAACAUUACGUUUCCUGCUUUUGUGGACGUCGUCGAUUUGGACAUUAAAUCAUGGGUUAAAUACGUCAUUUGCCUUCUCAUUUUGUUAAAUGAAUUUUGUAGAAGAAUUGUUGGUUAGAAAUAAAAAAUAUCGAGUA